UCGUGGAUUGAUUUGUCUGGUUAAUUCCGAUAACGAACGAGACCUUAACCUACUAGUUAGUUGCGCAUGGGUUUUACUCAUGUUUUCUUGCAACUUCUUAGAGGGACAGCUGGCUUUUAGCCAGAGGAAGUUUGAGGCAAUAACA
rnacentral:rRNA from 1 species